CCUACGGGGGGCAGCAGUGGGGAAUCUUCCGCAAUGGGCGCAAGCCUGACGGAGCAACGCCGCGUGAAUGAAGAAGGUCUUCGGAUCGUAAAGUUCUGUUCUUAGGGAAGAAGUCUUAGGUUGUGAAUAAUGACUUAAGGUGACGGUACCUAUGGAGAAAGCUCCGGCUAACUACGUGCCAGCAGCCGCGGUAAUACGUAGGGAGCGAGCGUUGUCCGGAAUUACUGGGCGUAAAGGGCGCGUAGGCGGGAACUUAAGUUAGAUGUGAAAACUCCGGGCUUAACCUGGAGACUGCAUUUAAAACU
rnacentral:rRNA from 1 species